rfam:Camelus ferus unplaced genomic scaffold scaffold628, whole genome shotgun sequence.
GAGGGUAUAGCUCAGUGGUAGAACUUAUGCUUAGCAUGUAUAAGGUCCUGGGUUUAAUCCCCAGUACCUCCA